rnacentral:rRNA from 1 species
AGCUGCAGUCGAGAUCUUUCGCAAUGGGCGCAAGCCUGACGAAGCGACGCCGUGUGAGCGAUGAAGGCCUUCGGGUUGUAAAGCUCUUUCGCUAUGGGAACAAGAGAAGUACGGAUAACACCCUGCUAAUUUGAUGGUACUUGGUAAAGAAGCACCGGCUAACUCC